rnacentral:tRNA from 1 species
GGAAACAUAGUGUAAUGGUAGCACAAAUAAUUAUGUGUCUAGUGGGAUUAUGGGACACAUACAGCAAUAUAUUUAAAAGAAGAAAUUAAAUCUUAUAGGUCAAGAAGAGGGUGUUGGUUCGAAUCCAACUGUUUCCA